rnacentral:rRNA from 1 species
GACAGAGGGGGCAAGCGUUGUCCGGACUGACUGGGCGUAAAGCGCGCGCAGGCGGUCAGAGGCGUCGGUGCUCAAAGUCCACCGCUUAACGGUGGGAGGCGUGCCGAUACGCUCUGACUGGAGGGCGGGCGAGGGUGGUGGAAUUGCCGGUGUAGUGGUGAAAUGCGUAGAGAUCAGGAGGAACACCCAUGGCGAAGGCAGCACUCUGGACCGGACCUGACGCUGAGACGCGAAAGCGUGGGAGCGAACGGG